rnacentral:lncRNA from 1 species
ACAAAACUAUUAUCACAGCAGUAUCUUCUACAGAGAGGAUGUGCUACGAAUUUGUUGGACAAAAAAUGUGCA